rnacentral:rRNA from 1 species
GAACCGGGAUGAGCUCAAAUUUAAAAUCUGGCGUCUUUCAGGCGUCCGAGUUGUAAUCUAUAGAGGCGUUUUCCGCGCCGGACCGCGUCCAAGUCUCUUGGAAUAGAGUAUCAAAGAGGGUGACAAUCCCGUACUUGACGCGACAACCGGUGCUCUGUGAUACGUUCUCAAUGAGUCGAGUUGUUUGGGAAUGCAGCUCUAAAUGGGUGGUAAAUUCCAUCUAAGGCUAAAUAUUGGCGAGAGACCGAUAGCGAACAAGUACCGUGAGGGAAAGAUGAAAAGCACUUUGGAAAGAGAGUUAAACAGCACGUGAAAUUGUUAAAAGGGAAACGAUUGAAGUCAGUCGUGUGAAAGGUAUUCAGCCGUCUCUGGCGGUGUAUUUGCCUUUCACGGGUCAACAUCAGUUUGAUCCGGUAGAAAAAGGCGGGAGGAAGGUGGCACCCUCGGGUGUGUUAUAGCCUCCUGUCAUAUGUGCCGGACCAGACUGAGGAACGCAGCUUGCCGCAAGGCCGGGGUUCGCCCACGUACAAGCUUAGGAUGUUGACAUAAUGGCUUUAAACGACCCGUCUUGAA